ACAUGCAAGUCGAGCGGUACAUUUCAAAAGCUUGCUUUUGAAGUAUGCACGAGCGGCGGACGGGUGAGUAAUGCCUGGAGAAUUUGCCCAUUUGUGGGGGAUAACAGUUGGAAACGACUGCUAAUACCGCAUACGCCCUACAGGGGAAAGCAGGGGACCUUCGGGCCUUGCGCUGAUGGAUAAGCCCAGGUGGGAUUAGCUAGUAGGUGAGGUAAAGGCUCACCUAGGCGACUAUCCCUAUCUGGUCUGAGAGGAUGAUCAGCCACACUGGGACUGAGACACGGCCCACACUCCUACGGGAGGCAGCAGUGGGGAAUAUUGCACAAUGGGGGAAACCCUGAUGCACCCAUGCCGCGUGUGUGAAGAAGGCCUUCGGGUUGUAAAGCACUUUCAGCGAGGAAGAAAGGGUGUAAGUUAAUACCUUACAUCUGUGACGUUACUCGCAGAAGAAGCACCGGCUAACUCCGUGCCAGCAGCCGCGGUAAUACGGAGGGUGCGAGCGUUAAUCGGAAUUACUGGGCGUAAAGCGUGCGCACGCGGUUUGUUAAGCGAGAUGUGAAAGCCCCGGGCUCAACCUGGGAACCGCAUUUCAAACUGGCAAACUAGAGUCUUGUAGAGGGGGGUAGAAUUCCAGGUGUAGCGGUGAAAU
rnacentral:rRNA from 2 species